GUCAUUGGAAUUGGUACAUUGUAUAUUGGGGGUUCCACUAAACGAGGGUUUUCAAGAACCGGAAAAGGAGCCAUCGCUGGAGAGAGGGGUUGCGGAUGGCGGCAGAUUUAAGAGAGAUAACGAAAAUAAUCCAACUCACUGUGAAGCUAGGAUGGCUAGGUAGCUAGCAUGCUAAGUAGCCAGCAGGCGUGCUGGAAAAGCUGCCGUUUGGUCCGGUAAAGUGAGGAUUAAUGGACCAAUGACGAGCGCAAACCAGAACCAGUCGGGAUUCUACCUGUGGGCAAGCUACGACGAGGGACCAAGGCCCAUUCUUCACUACACUGUGACCCUUGAGGAGGGCUGAAGGUGAUGACCAGGAACAACUUCAUUGAUUUUGCAGUGUGGGUGAAGCAAGCCAUAAAUGUCUCCUGCUACAACAUCACAGCAUCCCUUCGCUGUUUGCGUCAAGUCAGGAUCUUUGUGUGAAACAGAUUCCUCUGAGACUGAAUCUACUAUUCAUCUCCCUUUGUUUUUUAUUGGCAAAUUAAGGUG